GUAUGAUCCUAGAGAAUACAAAUAUUCAAGGAGUAGAGUCCUUUUUUUUUUUUUCUUUUAGCACAGCUAAUUGUGAUUUUCUUCCAAAAUACGGAUUGAGGCUACAGACCCAUUAAUUAAAAACACUGUGAAGUCCUGAGUGUGUGUCUGCUUUAGUGUUUCAGUUCAGAUCGGGAGCUCGCUUUGGAAGUAAAUUGUUUUGCAUUAUGGUGUCAUCGUAAGAGUACUUGAAUUAGUGCCCUUUUGGAGGAAAUUUAUCUGUAAUAUGUGCUCCCCUAAUCCAUUUUAGUCACUACUGGGCAAUCAAUCCCUAAGGCCAGACUAUGGAUAGCAUGAACUGGAAAAGAAGAAAAAAGAAUCCAACCAUGAGAUAUACGUACUGUGAAUGUCAAGUCCUCAGCAAAAAUUCUUGUGGCCCAUGGCUUUGCUCUUCUUAGUCCACACUACUUAACAAUGCAGAUACAGUCCUAGAAAAUCCACAGAUGGUCCUCAAUUAAUUUGAAGGCUUCAUAGCUAAGCAAUUCCAGCAUAAACAACAAAGAAACAGUAGGAAAUUAAAUGAGUGAUAGACCAGAUGAUGUCUGGCCCUUCAUGAUAGGACAAGGGGUAAUGGCUUUAAACUUAAUGAGGGGGAAUGUAGAUUAGACAUUAGGAAGAAAUUCUUCCCUCAGAGGGUGCUGAGGCCCUGGCCCAGGCUGCCCAGAGAAGCUGUGGAUGUCCCAUCCCUGGAGGUGUUCAAGGCCAGACUGGAUGCUGCUGUAGUUUGCAUUUCUUUUUCUUGCCAAUGUAUGCAGGAAAUCACUUAACGUGAAGGCAUUCAUCCUUUGGAGCACAAUCCUGCCCACCUGUGGCACCAGUGUCCCAGCCCCAUCGGUGGCUCAUCCUCAAGGCCAGAGGCCCACCGAGCCCCACACAAGCAUGGGUCCCUGUGUCUCCUGUCCUCCCACACCCUGCAUCUCCGCUACCCCUUCAGACAACUGUAAUUAAAUCCAUCAUUCGUCAGAGCUGCCUGAGCCCCAUGCUCUCACCUGAGUGUACACACUUGGCUUUUCUUCUGGUGACAAAGAAGUCAAUUCAAAUCAACUGAGGCUGAUUCUUUUGAGAGGGAAAGAAGAGAAAGCGAGCGAGACGGGCCGGCACACGUCUGAUCCUCCCGAAGCUGCUGCGUAGGUGGUGAGGGCCGAGCAGCGUGCCCUGCUCUGAGCUGCCUCGGUGAAGUGGCGAUGAAAAAGUGGGCACGAUCCCCACCACCUCGCUGCCCACCAUGAUUAGAGAUCCUCCAGAAGUGAGCUGGGAGGUCGCUUUGUUCAAGUGUUGGCAAGACCUCUGAGUUUCCAGCGGCAGAUUGUGAAAGGUUUCUUGGUUUAUUUCUUGGGGCUUUCUGUAAAAUGACUGAAUGCAAGCUGCUUUCUCUUUCUCCCUCUUUCUGACACAUGCAUGCAGGUGCUAACACCCCACCUUAUGUCAACCACCAUCUCAAUAAUAAGAGAAUCACUUUAUCCUUGAUUUUAUACCUAUAAGCAACUCAGCUCCAGUCGGUAUGAAUAAUUAAAAGGAAGCUCAUGGUGGUGCUGCAAAUCAGAAUAAAAUGUGAUGUCUUAUAUAUUUCUUGUUGAAG
ensembl:lncRNA